rnacentral:rRNA from 1 species
UACGAAGGGUGCAAGCGUUAAUCGGAAUUACUGGGCGUAAAGGGUGCGUAGGCGGUUGUUUAAGUCUGUCGUGAAAUCCCCGGGCUCAACCUGGGAAUGGCGAUGGAUACUGGGCAGCUAGAGUGUGUCAGAGGAUGGUGGAAUUCCCGGUGUAGCGGUGAGAUGCGUAGAGAUCGGGAGGAACAUCAGUGGCGAAGGCGGCCAUCUGGGACAACACUGACGCUGAAGCACGAAAGCGUGGGGAGCAAACAGG